CCGUAUUGUAUCGAUACCACCGAGUCUGCAAGGCUGCAGUAAAUAUCGUAUCGUAUCGUAGCGGAUCCGGUAGUAUCGUCCGAUAUCGAAUCGUAUCGUAGCGGAUCCGGUAGUAUCGUCCAACAUCGUAUUGUAUCGUAGCGGAUCCGAUCCGGUAGUAUCGUCCAACAUCGAAUCGUAUCGUAGCGGAUUCGGUAGUAUCGUCCAAUAUCGAAUCGUAUCGUAGCGGAUUCGGUAGUAUCGUCCAAUAUCGAAUCGUAUCGUAGCGGAUCCGGUAGUAUCGUCCAACAUCGAAUCGUAUCGUAGCUGAUUCGGUAGUAUCGUCCAAUAUUGAAUCGUAUAGUAGAGGAUUCGGCAAAAAAAAAAUUCUCAUCUUAGCAAGUGAAAAUACCUUAAAUACAGUCAAAUUUAUCGAGUGUUUCUCAUUAUGAGAUUACAAUAAACCGAAUAUACGACCGUUAAACAUGUUUCUAGUCAUUAUUACUCAUUUCAAGCUUGUAGUUGUUGUUGUUUUUAUUUAUUUAUUCUCCCGGCAGCUCAUUUGGCUUCUUUCAGGAAAUAAAUGCUUCAAAUGGGCAAAAUUAUCCGCCAAGACGACGUUAUUUCAAG
ensembl:lncRNA